AUUGAACGCUGGCGGCAGGCCUAACACAUGCAAGUCGAACGGUAACAGGAAGCAGCUUGCUUCUUUGCUGACGAGAGGCGGACGGGUGAGUAAUGUCUGGGAAACUGCCUGAUGGAGGGGGAUAACUACUGGAAACGGUAGCUAAUACCGCAUAACGUCGCAAGACCAAAGAGGGGGACCUUCGGGCCUCUUGCCAUCGGUUGUGCCCAGAUGGGAUUAGCUAGUAGGUGUGGUAGCGGCUGACAUAGGCGACGAUCCCUCGCUAGUCUGAGAGGAUGACCAGCCACACUGGAACUGAGACGCGGCGCAGACACCGACGGGCGGCAGCAGUGGGGAAUAGUGCACGAAGGGCGCAAGCCUGAUGCAGCCAUGCCGAGUGGAUGAAGAGAGCCUGCGGGUUGUAAAAUACUUUCAGCGGGGAGGAAGGGAGUAAAGUUAAAAGCUUUGCUUAGUGACGUUACCCACAGAAGAAGCACCGGCUAACUCCGUG
rnacentral:rRNA from 1 species